GACAUAGGUUGCGAGCGUUGUUCGGAAUUACUGGGCGUAAAGAGUGCGUAGGCGGUGCUCUAAGUUUGGUGUGAAAUCUCCCGGCUUAACCGGGAGGGUGCGCCGAAGACUGGAGUGCUUGAGUGUGGGAGAGGAAAGCGGAAUUCCUGGUGUAGCGGUGAAAUGCGUAGAUAUCAGGAGGAACACCUGCGGUGUAGACGGCUUUCUGGACCACGACUGACGCUGAGGCACGAAAGCGUGGGCAGCAAACAGG
rnacentral:rRNA from 1 species